UUGAGGGGCCCGCACAAGCGGUGGAGUAUGUGGUUUAAUUCGAUGCAACGCGAAGAACCUUACCUGGUCUUGACAUCCCGGAGACCCUUGGAAACUAGGGGGUGCUUCCAUCUGGAAGAAUCUGGAGACAGGUGCUGCAUGGCUGUCGUCAGCUCGUGUCGUGAGAUGUUGGGUUAAGUCCCGCAACGAGCGCAACCCUUGCCUUUAGUUGCCAGCAGUUCGGCUGGGCACUCUAAAGGGACUGCCGGUGUUAAACCGGAGGAAGGUGGGGAUGACGUCAAGUCCUCAUGGCCUUUAUGACCAGGGCUACACACGUACUACAAUGGCCGAUACAAAGGGCAGCGACACUGCGAGGUGAAGCCAAUCCCGUAAAAUCGGUCUCAGUCCGGAUUGGAGUCUGCAACUCGACUCCAUGAAGUUGGAAUCGCUAGUAAUCGUGGAUCAGCAUGCCACGGUGAAUACGUUCCCGGGCCUU
rnacentral:rRNA from 1 species